GGCUAGGUAGCUCAGUUGGUAGAGCAGGUGACUGAAAAUCACCGUGUCGGCGGUUCAAUUCCGUCCCUGGCCACCA
rnacentral:tRNA from 1 species